AGAGUUUGAUCAUGGCUCAGGAUGAACGCUGGCGGCGUGUUUAAGGCAUGCAAGUCGUACGAAGGUGGCUUGUAGCACUAAGGUUUAGAAACUUUUUCUAAGCUUGAGUGCUAUGAGCUACUUCAGUGGCAAACGGGUGAGUAACACACUGGUAACCUACCUCUAAGACGAGGAUAGCUCUCCGAAAGGAGAAUUAAUACUCGAUGGAAAUGCGGGGACAUAAGUCAUUCGUAUUUAAAGUCGCAAGGCGCUUAGAGAGGGGCCUAUGUCUGAUUAGCUAGUUGGUGAGGUAAUGGCUCACCAAGGCUUUGAUCAGUAGCAGGCGUGAGAGCGUGACCUGCCUCACUGGGACUGAGACACUGCCCAGACUCCUACGGGAGGCUGCAGUCAAGAAUCUUCCACAAUGGGCGAAAGCCUGAUGGAGCGACGCCGCGUGCAGGAUGAAGGCCUUCGGGUCGUAAACUGCUUUUAUGGGGGAAGAAUUUGUGACGGUACCCCAAGAAUAAGAGGUUGCUAACUCUGUGCCAGCAGCAGCGGUA
rnacentral:rRNA from 1 species